AGGACAGAUAGUUGAGGGGAAGAGAGGAGAGGCAAGAGGAUUAAGAUACAAACGCGCAACCGAAAGAAACAAAUUUGAUAUUUCUUUUCAGUAGCAAAAAUGGGUAAAUCACUAAUGUUUAAACGCUUUAAGUUUUUCUGGGGAAAACACCACUUUAAUUUUUACAAGUUUCCGUACCCACGUUUUUGACACACGGGUGCUCACAGACACCAACCGGUCACUGCAAGCGCCGCCGGUACAAGCCAGCCCCUCUUUACCCCCACCAUCAAUUGUAGAACGUUCUCAGGGACGACAUUUUUAGGAUGCUCAAUAAUUAUUAAAUUGAGAAUAUAUCAAUGAAGUUUAAUGAGAUUUCAUAAUAUUACUUAACUUUAUAAAAUGUUUUAUGAUUGGUGGAUUAUAUAUGAUUUCGAGAAUCGAAAUUUGGAAUAAUCGGAUAUCGAAACAACAGAUUUCUACCAAUAAAGUUAUUUACUUUUAUAUA